rfam:Hordeum vulgare subsp. vulgare, WGS project CAJW01000000 data, contig: morex_contig_48682
AAUAUACUCCCUCCGUUCAAAAUUACUUGUCACAAAAAUGGAUGUAUCUAGACGUACUUUAGUUCUAGAUACAUCUAUUUUUUUCAUUUUGGCAACAAAUAAUUUCGGACGGAGGGAGUAUGAG